rfam:Rattus norvegicus chromosome 8, whole genome shotgun sequence.
GGGGAUUUAGCUCAGUGGUAGAGCGCUUGCCUAGCAAGCGAAAGGCCCUGGGUUCGGUCCCCAGCUCCG